GACGAACGCUGGCGGCGUGCUUAACACAUGCAAGUCGAACGGAAAGGCCCUGCUUUUGUGGGGUGCUCGAGUGGCGAACGGGUGAGUAACACGUGAGUAACCUGCCCUUGACUUUGGGAUAACUUCAGGAAACUGGGGCUAAUACCGGAUAGGAGCUCCUGCUGCAUGGUGGGGGUUGGAAAGUUUCGGCGGUUGGGGAUGGACUCGCGGCUUAUCCGCUUGUUGGUGGGGUAGUGGCUUACCAAGGCUUUGACGGGUAGCCGGCCUGAGAGGGUGACCGGCCACAUUGGGACUGAGAUACGGCCCAGACUCCUACGGGAGGCAGCAGUGGGGAAUAUUGCACAAUGGGCGGAAGCCUGAUGCAGCAACGCCGCGUGCGGGAUGACGGCCUUCGGGUUGUAAACCGCUUUCGCCGGUGACGAAGCGUGAGUGACGGUAAUGGGUAAAGAAGCACCGGCUAACUACGUG
rnacentral:rRNA from 1 species